rnacentral:rRNA from 1 species
UACGGCGGGGGCUAGCGUUGUUCGGAAUUACUGGGCGUAAAGCGCGCGUAGGCGGGCUGUUAAGUCGAGGGUGAAAUCCCGGGGCUCAACCCCGGAACUGCCUUCGAUACUGGCAGCCUAGAGGUCGGGAGAGGUGAGUGGAAUGCCGCAUGUAGAGGUGAAAUUCGUAGAUAUUCGGCGGAACACCCGUGGCGAAGGCGGCUCACUGGCACGAUACUGACGCUGAGGUGCCAAAGCGUGGGGAACAAACAGG